GGGCAGGUAGCGAAGUGGUCAAACGCGACUGACUGUAAAUCAGUUGGCCUUGCGCCUUCAUAGGUUCGAAUCCUAUCCUGCCCACCA
rnacentral:tRNA from 1 species